rnacentral:ncRNA from 3 species
ACUGGACUUGGAGUCAGAAGU